rnacentral:lncRNA from 1 species
AGCGGAGUCAUGGGCAGAUCCAGCCGGGGCCGUUGGCAGCCGUCCCUCCCUCCGAGCGGCCAAGAGGCUUCAGCAGAACAAGCGCAUGGACCGUGCGCACCUCACGCGCUAGAGCCACCGGUCCUCGUCAUCUGCUAGCAUCUACGAGGAAUCGAUCCAUAUGUAAGCUAGCUUCCACAAUAAUCCAUCCAGCAGGCUGCUUGCUUGUUUGUGUACUAGUUGUAAAGGGAGCAAGAUACGAGGCCGGCGUCCAGGAUAAAUGCCCGCUUCUAAUUGAUUCUCGUGGUAAUAAUAGUAGUACGUGUUCCUUCCCAUUGUGGAGAUGUACAUACUGGAAUACUCGUCACAUAUCCGUACAUACUCGUAUACUCUUAGACUUGGCCCGUAUACAUACCCAAAUACCUGUGCGUUUUUUUAAUUCAGCUAAAUAGGUCUACCGAGUGUCAAACUCAGUAAAGGCUUGCCCCUUUGCCUAGUGUUGCACUCGGCAGACUGUGUCCGUCAGAUCGGUAAUAGAGAUUGUGCAGAGUAACAUUGACAUCUACUUUACUGACAGGGAAUCUAUGUGUAAUACAUAGUGCUUAUCAUUGUAAGGGUUUUAGUAGAUGAAUGAUCAUUUUAGUGAAGUAUAUCCCUAUUAUCACUAUGAAAAUACAGCGGGGCUUGACUAUUCAUUUCCAGUUCAAUUCUUAUAUUUCUUGUAUCUUAACUUCAUCUGCUAGCUUGAUAUAAUCCGGUGGGUGAUAGCAUCACCUUUUACCAAGUACCCAUCCUGGCUACCUUUUUAUUUAGGUAAAUGUAAGAUACCAUCAACCUUUACCAAGUAUCCAUCCUGGUUACAUUAUGUCCAAAAUAAGUUCUACAUUUAAUUCCAAAUUUGUUGAAUGUGUGGUUUUACUGCGUGCUUAUAGUCUGUAGCUUUUGUCUGCGCAUCUAUUUCUGUCAAGUUCUUUAUCAUUGUACUCUUACAGAAUGUUUGAGGGAAGCUCGGUUACUGUCAACGCCUCAAGGGUUUAUGCUAGAGUCUAAUCUGCGCUAAUCUCUCGAUCACACAAGGAAAGACUCCGUGGUUUUUGCGUCGCGUUCAACUGUGCGACUUUUCUCGUUUUUACUGCAUCUAUUUAUUGGGUACAAAGGGAAACGGAGUGGCCGGUAGUUUCCUACCUCUACGCCACGACCCUGACCGCUCGUGCCAUUCCACGAGUUCGCGUCGUGCUAAACCACCCCAGCUAAUCGCAUGGGCUAAUGUGACGUGGUCACAUCGUGCUACAGGCCCAUGCAGCCUACAUGCAAGGCACGCACAAGUCACGGCUCUUGACCAACAAACUAAGCUGGAAACAGACUACCUACUGCAAUUUUAUUCUUAGCGACUAGAUUAGCUAACAAAACACCCCCCUAAAAGCUGGAAACAGACUACCUACUGCAAUUUUAUUCUUAGCGACUAGAUUAGCUAACAAAACACCCCCCUAAUCUUGUCGCUGCCUGCUUAUUUCUGUCAUGCCGAUUCUUCCCCUUAGCUCUAGGAACCUGAUGCGUCCGAGUGGCUUCGUGAAAGUGUGGGCGAGCUGAUCGUUGGUGCAGAUGUAGUCGAUGUAGAUGCGCCCCUCUUCCACGCAUUCACGAAUGAAGUGAUACCGCAGCUCAAUGUGCUUACUUCGAUCAUGGAAGACGGGGUUCUUCACGAGAGAGAUGGCCGACUUGUUGUCGACCAGUAGCCUUGGCUGCUUGACGUUGGUGUUCAGCAUCUCUCCAACCAGCCGAGCUAGCCAAAUGCCUUGGCAAGCAGCAGUAGUGGCGGCCAUGUAUUCGGCCUCGCAUGAGGAGAUCGCCACCACGCGCUGCUUCUGGGACUGCCAGCUUACGGGGCUGCCGCCAAGGAAGAAAAGCACUCCCGUCGUGCUCCUCCUGUCAUCGAUGUCGCCGGCGUGGUCAGAGUCACUGUAUCCCGGGAGCUCCGGCGUGCCCUUUCCGCGGACGUAGGCACAGCCGUAGUCAAUCGUGCCGGCGAUGUACUUCAGCAGCCUCUUCACGGCCGUGUAAUGAUCUGAUGCUGGCGCCUCCAUGAAACGGCUCAAAUAUCCGACGGCGAAGGAGAUAUCCGGCCUCGUGUGUACGAGGUAACGCAGCCCUCCGAUGAUGCUGCGGUACAGGGUGCUGUCCACCGGCUUCUCCUUGCUGUCCCUGCUCAAUUUCAGCCGCGCCUCCAUCGGCACGUUGCCGGGGUUGCAGUCGUCCAUGCGGGCGCGCUCCAGCAGCUUCUUGGCGUAGGCAGCCUGGCACAGCGUGAUCCGAUCACGCUCGUGGCGCACCUCGAUGCCAAGGUAGUAGCUGAGCCGCCCGAGGUCGCUCAUACGAAAAAGCGAGGUCAUCUGGCGCUUGAAAGAGCUGAUUUCCGACGGGUUCGAGCCGGUGAUGACGAGGUCGUCGACGUACACACCGACGAGCAGGAGCUUGCUUCCCUCCCCACGCCGGUACACAGCAUGCUCGGACGGACAUCUCUCGAAGCCCAGGGAGCGCAAGCUUUCGUCGAGCUUGGCGUUCCACGCCCUCGGCGCCUGACGAAGCCCGUACAACGCCUUCCGUAGGCGCAACACCUUCUCCUCCUUGCCGGGCACGAUGUAGCCCGGCGGCUGGACGACGUAGACAUCCUCGAGACGGUCGCCGUUCAAGAAGGCGGACUCGACGUCCAUGUGGUGCACCGGCCAGGCGUGGUGCGCAGCGAGGGCGAUCAAGACGCGCACUGAGUCCAUCCGCGCCACCGGCGCGAACACGUCCUCGAAGUCCACUCCCUGAACUUGAACGUAUCCCUUCGCCACCAGCCUCGCCUUGCGCUUCACCACCGCGCCAUGAGCAUCUUUCUUAAGCUUGUACACCCACUUGAGGCCUAUAGCGCGGUGUCCAGGCGGGAGCUCCGUGAGUUCCCACGUGCGGUUGUCGACGAUGUUCUGCAUCUCCUCGUCCAUGGCACUCCGCCACCCUGGUUCCUUCUUCGCCUCAAGAUACGAGGCUGGUUCUUCCCCUGCAAACAAGCAGAGAGGACUAUACACCAUCUCGACCUCAUCCGUGGUAUCCCACAGAUUCUCCAAGGUGCGGUAGCGCCGUGGCGCCUCCACAUCGAUAGAUGGCACGGACACACCAGUGGGCGGGGAGGCGAACUCAAUGCCGGACGUUGUCGGGACCGGUGUCGUGUGACCCCGCGUCAUAGGAGCCGUCUUCGUGGGAGUGGCUGGCGUCACGUGAGCCCGCGUCAUGGGCGCCGGCAUCGUGGGAGUGGACGGCGUCGCGCCUCCGGCAUCGACCAUGGGAGGCGAAGAAGGUGGAGAGGCCGUCGCCGACGCGGUAUCGUGUGCGUCGGAGGGGUCGGCCCGCAGGCCGUGCUCGAGCUCGACGGUGAAUGUCUCCAGCCCCGGCGAGUGGUGCUCUCCACCCGCGUCGGCGUGCCAAUCCCAUGCGCCGUCCUCGUCGAAGACGAUGUCCCUCGAGACGUGCACGCGACACGUCGAAGGAUGCAGCACGCGGUACGCUGCCGAGCCUGGCUCGUACCCUAGGAACACCAUGGGCACACUCCUGUCAUCAAGUUUCUUCAGGUUGGGGUUCGUUACCUUGACGUGUGCGACACACCCAAAAGUGCGCAGGUGAUGAACACUCGGACGAUGCCCACACCACGCCUCGUGUGGUGUCAUCUUCUCAACACUCUUUGUCGUGGACCUGUUGAGGAGGUACACGGCCGUCGUCACGGCCUCGCCCCAGAAGCGACCCGGCAUGCCCUUGGCCUUCAGGAGGCAGCGCGCCAUUCCGACGACAGUUUGGUUGCGCCGCUCCACAACGCCGUUCUGCUGGGGCGUGUAGGGCGCGGUGAGCUGCCAUUGCACCCCCUGAUCGGCGAAGUACUCGCCGGGGCUGUGUGAGGUGAAUUCACCACCUCGAUCUGUGCGCAGCACCUUGAGCUUGUGCCCGGACUCGAGCUCCGUCGUGGCCUGGAACCGCUUCAGUGCCGCGGCCGCCUCGUCCUUGGCGGCUAGCAGCACCAGCCACAUGUGCCUGCUGUGGUCGUCAACUAGCAGGAGGAAGUACCUCUUCCCACCAGGUGUUGGCGGGCUGAUCGGUCCACAUAAGUCGGCGUGGACCAGCUCUAGUGGCGUCGUGGCUCGGUUGAGCGCCCUGUCGGGGAAGGCUGCGCGACAAUGCUUGCUGGCGAGGCAGGCCUCGCACACCCGAUCAGCCUCGUCGACGAGUGGGAGGCCAUGCACCAUGCCGUCCCGGGCGAGUCGACGUAGAGCCCGGAAGUUGACAUGGCCGUAGCGCGCGUGCCAGCGCCAUGCGUCCUCGCUGCCAUGUACGGCGAGGCACACCGGCCGAGCCGGUGUGAGCUGCAGAAUGUAGAGCCGGCCAGGGUUGCGCUCCACACGAGCGAGGAGACGCCCUCCCGGCUCACGGAGCUGGAGUACACCGUGGUGUAUAUUUGUCUCGUAGGCAAUUUCAUCUAACUGCCCGAUGCUAACUAUGUUGCUACACAGUUGCGGUAUGAAAUACACCUCAGAUAAUACAAGAUGCUCACCAUUGCGGCACUGGAACAGAAUGGUGCCCUUCCCCUCGAUGUGGACGGCUGAUCCGUCGCCCAGCUUGACAGUGCCGCGCACGCCGGUGUCCAGCUCGGAGAAGAUUUCUCGGCGACCGGACAUGUGGUUGCUGGCUCCGGUGUCCAGGUACCAUGACAUGUCGCAGUCCUGGCCCUCCGCCGCUGCGCGCGCCUGGGAGUGCUCCUCGUUGAGAAGCACGUGCCCACCGGCACCGGCUAUGGUCACCGUGACCUCGUGCGCACUUGCGAGGAGGAGCGUGGACUCGUGCGUGCCCUCCUGAGUCAGGUGCACCUGCUCCUUGCGCUCGCGUCGUGGCUCAGUACAGUCGCGAGAGAAGUGCCCGUUUUUGUUGCAGUUGUAGCACUUCACCUUGCUCAUGUCACGGCCGCCGUUGCCGGCGCCCUGCCGGCUAGUACCUCCGCCGUUGCCUUGGUUGUCGUUGCCACGCCUCUGGUUCUGCGGCUUGCCGCGACGGCGGUUUCCUCCUCCGCCAUUGCCGUUACCGCCACCGUUGCCGAACCCCGAGUUCUGGCCUUGCUCGCGCUCCCGGUGCCGUGCGUACCACUACUGCUCUGUCAUGAGCAGCUGGCCACCGCUGGCCGGCGUAGGGGUGUUGCCGCAGCGCUCUUCAGCGGUCCGCAGCCGCCCGAUCAGCUCCUUGACCGAGAUCGUGGACAGGUCAAGGAGCGUCUCAAUCGCGACGGCGAUCUGCGCAUAGCGUGAGGGAACGACUCGGAGAACCUUCUGGACCACGCGUACCUCUUCCAUGUUGUCCCCCAGCGUGCGCAGCUGGUUGACGAGGGCGGUGAUCCUCAUACCGAAGGCGUCGAACUCCGCGCGCAACCGUUGCGCGGUGGCCUCGCGGAGGCGAUGCACGCCCAUCCGCAUCACCUUCAGCGAGUCCCAGGCGUCCUUCGCCGUCUUCUUCACCACGAGCACGCUGAGUACCUCCGGCGACACCGCCCGAAGAAUCAUACCCAGGGCGCUCUUGUCGUCGCGCACCGAGGCGGCAUGGCCCUCGACGGCGUCCCAGAGUCCCCAGAACUCCAUGUGGACCUGCAUAAACAAGGCCCACUCGAUGUAGUUGGUCGGGGUGAGCGUAGGGAACGUCACGCCUGCGCCUGGUACGACCGGUGGGUGCUCCGUGGCCGCCGUCUCGUGCACCACCACCCUUCGCUCUCGCCUCCCGCGGCUCCGUCCGCGGCUAAGCUCUCGUGAGCGUGGUGGAGUCGCUGAACGGCUUGCCCCGUUCCCGCCUGCAGCGAGGGGCGCUGUCGCCGCGGUCGCCGCGGCUUCCGCUUUCGCCCGCUCCGCCGCCGUCGACAUGGUCACCGGGAUCGCAACCGGCUCUGAUGCCAAUUGCUAGAGUCUAAUCUGCGCUAAUCUCUCGAUCACACAAGGAAAGACUCUGUGGUUUUUGCGUCGCGUUAAACUGUGCGACUUUUCUCGUUUUUACUGCAUCUAUUUAUUGGGUACAAAGAGAAACGGAGUGGCCGGUAGUUUCCUACCUCUACGCCACGACCCUGACCGCUCGUGCCAUCCCACGAGUUCGCGUCGUGCUAAACCACCCCAGCUAAUCGCAUGGGCUAAUGUGACGUGGUCACAUCGUGCUACAGGCCCAUGCAGCCUACAUGCAAGGCACGCACAAGUCGCGGCUCUUGACCAACAAACUAAGCUGGAAAUAGACUACCUACUGCAAUUUCAUUCUUAGCGACUAGAUUAGCUAACAGUUUAUGCAUAUCAGUUGCAUGUUCCUUAAAGCCACUGUAAUGAUGACUACUGUUUCCAGGUAUAUUUUUAUGGAGUCAUAUGGACGUGCUCGUUGAUAAUUCGUAUAGAAUGUGUAUAUUCUUUAUAACUUUGCCAUGUAAUGCCUACUGUUAGAAAACAUCUUGCAAGUACUUUGGUUAGGUACUUGAAAGCACAUAUACACACAUGCCCAGCACAGCAAUAAGCACACACAUACAACAUAGAACAUAUGCUCUGCUCCUGAUUUGUCAAUAGUAUGAUGAUGCUUUGCUCUGAUUUGCUUUGCCACUCUAAAAGUUCUGCACUAGGGGCCACUUUGCAUGUGCUUGCUCAUGUAGUGACCUGAUUGCCAGUUGUUUGUGUUGAUGUGUUCAACUUAUGUCUAGAUACAACAAGUUAGUCUUGAUUUGUCCAAGAACUAAGUAGAAUUGUCUGAACUCUGCUUACACACAUCUGCCAUGUGGUGAGAUUAUGCGGGCAAGAAAAUGCAACAAGCUUGAUUGCGGGAUGCCCACGAGCACCUGCAUAACACAUGCGUGCAAGUGUGGGCAUCCCGCUAUUAGUCCCACUUGCAACAUGAAUGUGUAUCCCUAAUGAAGUGAAUGGUCAUGACAGUGUUCCUGAACUAUGACCAUCCAUUGACAUAUUGUUCAUACAAAUUCUAUUAUCAAUGUCGCUGAAUGAUAAUAUUGACCAUAAUGUAGGUUGCUUCCAAAGUACUCCCUUCGUCCCAUAAUAUAAAGUGUGUUUUUUGACACUACACUAGUGUAAAAAAUGCACUUAUAUUAUGGGACACGGAGUAGUUUUAGAGACUAUAACAUAUCCAAACUAGUGUAAUGUGGUAUAUGCUACUAUUCAGAGUACUGAUCUAGAAACUAAGGCUGGUGAUAUUGAGUUAGGUGUUGAACUUGCACUUGUGCGCAUAGAUGUACCUAUUCUUGAUAAUGAGGAGUUAGUAAAGUAAGUUUCUCAUUGCAAGAGAAUUGGUGAUGCUUUUGCUUCAGAAUACUUAAUUGCCUGACCUUUAGCUUUUGUAAGUUGAAGUGUUCUCUUCCAUAUUCCAAAUUAUAUUUGUGUACAUUUAAUUACAUAACUGCCAGGUCCAUUUUUUUACAGAUUCAAAAGAAGGAUAAUUAAGUUGCAGCUAAAUUCUCGGAUGGAUGAAGAAGCAAAUAAAGUUAGAAGAUUUUACUUAGCAAUAUCCAUAGUUUACAUUGACAGAUUGAAAAAUUGUAAUACUAUUCACAAGAUCUUUUUCUUUGGUUCAAUUGAUGUAAAUGCUAUGGUGUAAUAUUCUUCAUAGAUGUGUUCUCUAUAGUCAAAGUGAUAUGGAUGAUAUGUUGUUGCACCAAUAAGAUUGGUAUGUAUUUAUUGUAAUGCAUAUGUAUCCUACACUCUUGUAUAUUCAUAAUAAAUACCUUGAUAUUUUCAAUUUGUGUAUGUGUUUGUG